rnacentral:rRNA from 1 species
AGAGCGAACGCUGGCGGCAGGCCUGACACAUGCAAGUCGAACGGACCCUUCGGGGUUAGUGGCGGACGGGUGAGUAACACGUGGGAACGUGCCUUUUGGUUCGGAAUAGCUCCUGGAAACGGGUGGUAAUGCCGAAUGUGCCCUUCGGGGGAAAGAUUUAUCGCCAUUAGAGCGGCCCGCGUCUGAUUAGCUAGUUGGUGAGGUAAUGGCUCACCAAGGCGACGAUCAGUAGCUGGUCUGAGAGGAUGACCAGCCACAUUGGGACUGAGACACGGCCCAAACUCCUACGGGAGCAGCAGUGGGGAAUAGUUGGACAAGUGGGA